rnacentral:rRNA from 1 species
CUACGGGGCGCACCAGUGAGGAAUAUUGGUCAAUGGGCGCAAGCCUGAACCAGCCAUGCCGCGUGAAGGAUGAAGGCCUUAUGGGUUGUAAACUUCUUUUAUACGGGAAUAAACUUAGCUAUGUAUAGCUAACUGCAGGUACCGUAAGAAUAAGCACCGGCUAACUCCGUGCCAGCAGCCGCGGUAAUACGGAGGGUGCAAGCGUUAUCCGGAUUUAUUGGGUUUAAAGGGUCCGCAGGCGGACUAAUAAGUCAGUGGUGAAAUAUCUCGGCUCAACCGAGAAACUGCCAUUGAUACUGUUAGUCUAGAGUGUAGUUGGCGUAGGCGGAAUGUAUCAUGUAGCGGUGAAAUGCUUAGAUAUGAUACAGAACACCGAUCGCGAAGGCAGCUUACGAAACUACAACUGACGCUCAGGGACGAAAGCGUGGGAAGCGAACAGGAUUAGAUACCCUCGUAGUC